UACGUAGGUGGCGAGCGUUGUCCGGAAUUACUGGGUGUAAAGGGAGCGCAGGCGGGAAGCCAAGUCAGCUGUGAAAACUACGGGCUUAACUUGUAGACUGCAGUUGAAACUGGUUUUCUUGAGUGAAGUAGAGGUUGGCGGAAUUCCGAGUGUAGCGGUGAAAUGCGUAGAUAUUCGGAGGAACACCGGUGGCGAAGGCGGCCAACUGGGCUUUAACUGACGCUGAGGCUCGAAAGCGUGGGGAGCAAACAGG
rnacentral:rRNA from 1 species